rnacentral:rRNA from 1 species
ACUCCUACGGGAGGCAGCAGUGGGGAAUAUUGCACAAUGGGCGCAAGCCUGAUGCAGCCAUGCCGCGUGUAUGAAGAAGGCCUUCGGGUUGUAAAGUACUUUCAGCAGUGAGGAAGGCGGGUACGUUAAUAGCGUGCUCGUUUGACGUUAGCUGCAGAAGAAGCACCGGCUAACUCCGUGCCAGCAGCCGCGGUAAUACAGAGGGUGCAAGCGUUAAUCGGAUUUACUGGGCGUAAAGCGCGCGUAGGUGGCUAAUUAAGUCAAAUGUGAAAUCCCCCGAGCUUAACUUGGGAAUUGCAUUCGAUACUGGUUAGCUAGAGUAUGGGAGAGGAUGGUAGAAUUCCAGGUGUAGCGGUGAAAUGCGUAGAGAUCUGGAGGAAUACCGAUGGCGAAGGCAGCCAUCUGGCCUAAUACUGACACUGAGGUGCGAAAGCAUGGGGAGCAAACAGGAUUAGAUACCCUGGUAGCUACGAGU